GACGAAGGGUGCAAGCGUUGUUCGGAAUUACUGGGCGUAAAGGGCGCGUAGGCGGUCUGUUAAGUUCGGUGUGAAAGCCCCCCGGCUCACCUGGGGAACUGCGCCGGAAACCGACAGACUCGAGUACCGGAGAGGAGGGUGGAAUUCCUGGUGUAGCGGUGAAAUGCGUAGAUAUCUGGAGGAACACCGGUGGCGAAGGCGGCAUCCUGGACCAACACUGACGCUGAGGAGCGAAAGCGUGGGGAGCGAACAGG
rnacentral:rRNA from 1 species